rnacentral:rRNA from 1 species
ACGCUCGACACCUAGGAGGCAGCAGUGAGGAAUAUUGGUCAAUGGGCGCUAGCCUGAACCAGCCAAGUAGCGUGAAGGAUGAAGGCUCUAUGGGUCGUAAACUUCUUUUAUAUAAGAAUAAAGUGCAGUAUGUAUACUGUUUUGUAUGUAUUAUAUGAAUAAGGAUCGGCUAACUCCGUGCUAGCAGCCGCGGUAAUCUGAGCGGGCUGGCAAGGC